rnacentral:rRNA from 1 species
AUUGAACGCUGGCGGCAGGCCUAACACAUGCAAGUCGAGCGAGCGGCGGACGGGUGAGUAAUGUAUGGGGAUCUGCCCGAUAGAGGGGGUGAAUUACUGGAAACGGUGGCUAAUACCGCAUACUAUCGGAGGAAACCAUAUGGGAUUAGCAAGUAGGGGGGGUAAAGGCUCACCAAGGCGACGAUCUCUAGCUGGUCUGAGAGGAUGAGCAGCCACACUGGGACUGAGACACGGCCCAGACUCCGACGUGAGGCAGCAGUGGGGAAUAUUGUACAAUGGGCGCAAGCCUGAUGCAGCCAUGCCGCGUGUAUGAAGAAGGCCUUAGGGUUGUAAAGUACUUUCAGCGGGGAGGCGUUACCCGCAGAAGAAGCACCGGCUAACUCCGUGCCAGCAGCCGCGGUAAUAC